rnacentral:rRNA from 1 species
GAUGAACGCUGGCGGCGUGCCUAAUACAUGCAAGUCGAGCGAACAGACGAGGAGCUUGCUCCUCUGACGUUAGCGGCGGACGUGUGAGUAACACGUGGAUAACCUACCUAUACGACUGGGAUAAUUUCGGGAAAUCGGAGCUAAUACCGGAUAAUAUAUUGAACUGCAUGGUUCAAUAGUGAAAGUCGGUUUUGCUGUCACUCAUAGAUGGAUCCGCGCCGCAUUAGCUAGUUGGUAAGGUAACGGCUUACCAAGGCAACGAGGGGUAGACGACCUGAAAGGGUGAUCGGCCACACGGGAAGUGAGACAGGGUCCAGACUCCUGGGGGAGGCAGCAGUAGGGAAUCUUCCGCGAGGGGGGAGAGCGUGACGGAGCAAAGUCGCGGGAGUGAUGAAGGUGUUAGGACGGGAAAGCUAUGUUGUAGGGGAAUAACAAAUGUGUAAGUAACAAGGCAGGUCUUGACGGUACCUAAUCAGGAAGCCCCGGCUAACUACGUG